GGAAACCUCUCCAUACAGCCUCGAGGCCUCUCCACUGGGGCAGCUCAUGAACAUGUUGUCACACCCAGUCAUCCGCCGGAGCUCUCUCUUAACUGAGAAGCUCCUCAGACUCCUUUCUCUCAUCUCAAUUGCUCUCCCAGAAAACAAGGUGUCAGAAGCACAGGCUAAUUCUGGCAGCGGUGCUUCCUCCACCACCACUGCCACCUCAACCACAUCUACCACCACCACCACUGCCGCCUCCACCACGCCCACACCCCCUACUGCACCCACCCCUGUCACUUCUGCUCCAGCCCUGGUUGCUGCCACGGCUAUUUCCACCAUUGUCGUAGCUGCUUCGACCACAGUGACUACCCCCACGACUGCUACCACUACUGUUUCAAUUUCUCCCACUACUAAGGGCAGCAAAUCUCCAGCGAAGGUGAGUGAUGGGGGCAGCAGCAGUACAGACUUUAAGAUGGUGUCCUCUGGCCUCACUGAAAACCAGCUACAGCUCUCUGUAGAGGUGUUGACAUCCCACUCUUGUUCUGAGGAAGGCUUAGAGGAUGCAGCCAACGUACUACUGCAGCUCUCCCGGGGGGACUCUGGGACCCGGGACACUGUUCUCAAGCUGCUACUGAAUGGAGCCCGCCAUCUGGGUUAUACCCUUUGUAAACAAAUAGGUACCCUGCUGGCCGAGCUGCGGGAAUACAACCUCGAGCAGCAGCGGCGAGCCCAAUGUGAAACCCUCUCUCCUGAUGGCCUGCCUGAGGAGCAGCCACAGACCACCAAGCUGAAGGGCAAAAUGCAGAGCAGGUUUGACAUGGCUGAGAAUGUGGUAAUUGUGGCAUCUCAGAAGCGACCUUUGGGUGGCCGGGAGCUCCAGCUGCCUUCUAUGUCCAUGUUGACAUCCAAGACAUCUACCCAGAAGUUCUUCUUGAGGGUACUACAGGUCAUCAUCCAGCUCCGGGACGACACGCGCCGGGCUAACAAGAAAGCCAAGCAGACAGGCAGGCUAGGUUCCUCCGGUUUAGGCUCAGCUAGCAGCAUCCAGGCAGCUGUUCGGCAGCUGGAGGCUGAGGCUGAUGCCAUUAUACAAAUGGUACGUGAGGGUCAAAGGGCGCGGAGACAGCAACAAGCAGCAACGGUUAGCAUGAUGCCUGUGGCCCCUCAUUCAUUUGUCUCUCCACUCAUCCCCCCACCAUGUCAUCAGUGGGGUUUCAUUGCCUUUACCUUGUAUGCUUUUGCAUUAAGUUUGCUAUAUGAAUGCUUCUGGAC
rnacentral:sRNA from 1 species